UACUUUAAAUAUGAUUUCAGGAAGACUGGUACAUCUAAUAUCUUCUAGCAAUUAUGUUUUCACAGUACAUGUUCAUUAUAAUUUCAAAUACAAUGUAAGUGAUCUUCUAUAAUUAUUUCCUGGGUGUCCACAAUCUAAUUUUGGUGUAUUCAGCAAGUAAGUAGAGAAUGGAUGUGAGGUCAGUGAAUGUUUACUUUGAUGUGAUUAUCCCGUGUGUGUGUGUGUGUGUGUGUGUGUGUGUGUGUGUGUGUGUAUGUGUAUGUGUGUGUAGUAACCAAUUUUAAAUAGGGGAACCUGACUGAUGUUAGAACCCAAUUGAAAUUCAUUUUCUCUCUCCCUGUGUCUCUCUGUUUCUCCCCUCCCAGAGAAGUACCUCUUCUAUUUCUUAGUCAUGUGAUACUGGAUAAUUCCCUUUACCUUUCUGAGACUCAAUUUACUUUUACAUAAAAUGGCCUUAAUAAUGCUUUAUCUGUAUUACAGAUUCAAGUUUGACACUGGAUGGAUUGCUAUAAAAAUAUUUAAUCUCAUAUAUCACAUAAAGACAAAUAAUUACUCCUAAUCUUGAAUAGUGAAUACUUAUUGUUACUACUGUCAGUGCCUAUUCACCUGUGACUGCACUAGGAUAUUCAGACAGGUAAUAGAGGUAUGACAGAGAUCUGCUCUAGAUGACAAGCAGAUGUCUCAGUAAGUCAGGAGUAUAUAGAGUCAAGAGAACCUUGGAGAAAAUAAUAGAAGUCUAAGAGGCCAAGAGUUGAGAUCAAGCAUAGGGGCAACAGGUGAUGAUGUGAAGUUGGCAAAGCACAUGAACCAAAGAAAACAUGCAAGCAGCCAACAAGUCUAUUAAAAAUGCUCAACAUCAUUAAUUAUUAGAUAAAUGUAAAUCAAAACUACAAUGAGAUAACAUCUCAUGCUAGUCAGAAUGGCCAUUAUAAAAAAAGUCAAAAAAUAACGGAUGCUGGUGAGGUUGCAGGUAAAUGUGUGUCCUGGAGUUUGCUGCACAUAUCAAUCCAUCACCUAGAUAUUGAGACCAGCAUGCAUUAGCUAUUUUUCCUAAUGCUCUUCCUCCCCCAACCCUUUGCCCUUGACAGGCCCCAUUGUGUGUUGUUACCCUCCCUACAUUCAUGUGUUAUCAUUGUUCAGCCCCCAUUUAUAAGUGAGAACAUGCAGUGUUUGGUUUUCUGUUCCUACGUUAGUUUGCUUAGGAUAAUGGCUUCUAGCUCCAUUCAUUUCACUGCAAAGAACAUGAUCUUUUUCCUUUUUAUGGCUGCAUAGUGUUCCAUGGUGUAUAUGUACUACAUUUUCCUUAUCCGGUCUACUAUUGAUGGGCAUUUGGGUUGAUUCCAUGUCAUUGCUAUUGUGAAAAGUGCUGCAAUGAACAUACACAUGCAGGUAUCUUUUGUAAUAGAAUGAUUUGUAUCCUUUUGGGUAUAUACUUACACGUGGGAUUGCUGGGUCAAAUGGCAUUUCUGGUUUUAGAUCUUUGUGGAAUUGCCACAUCAUCUUCCACAAUGGUUGAACUAAUUUAUACUCCUACCGAAAGUGUAAAAGCAUUCUUAAUUCUCAGCAACCUCGCUAGAAUCUGUUGUUUCCUGACUUACUAAUAAUCGUCAUUCUGACUGGCAUGAGAUGGUAUCUCACUGUGGUUUUGAUUUGCAUUUCUCUAAUUAUCAUUGAUGUUGAGGUUUUUUCAUAUGUAUGUUGGCCACAUGAAUGUCCUCUUUUGACAAAUGUCUGUUCAGGUCCUUUGCACACUUUGUAAAGGGGUUGUUUUUUACUUGCAAAUUUGUGUAAGUUCCUUGUAGAUUCUUGAUAUUAGACCUUUCCAGAUGGAUAGAUUGCAAAAAUGUUCUCCCACUCUGUAGGUUGCCUGUUCACUCUGAUGAUAGUUUCUUUUGCUGUGCAGAAGCUCUUUAGUUUAAUUAGAUCCCAUUUGUCAGUUUUCGCUUUUGUUGCAAUUGCUUUUGUUGAUUUUGUUGUGAAAUCUUUGCCCGUGCCUAUGUCCUGAAUGGUAUUGCCUAGGUUUUCUUCUAGGGUUUUUAUAGUUUUAGGUUUUACAUUUAAUUGUUUAAUCCAUCUCGAGUUAAUUUCUGUGCUGAUAUACAAAUUAUUUAAAACUGUUUCAUAAACCUUUUUUGUGAAUCUUAAUUCUUUUUGUCUUUCCAAACACUCACAAAGGAUAGUCAAAAUGUGUUCUCAGUUGCAGGAAAACUGGUGCCAAGUUAUUUUUUUAUUCCUUUGACUGUAUUUUAACUUUACCUUUUCUAUAUUUAUAUAUGCUUGAUACACAAAUACUCAUCACUGUCUUAUAAUUACCUGCAAUAUUCAGUACAGUAACAUGCUGUACAGGUUUGUAGCCAUCCAAUCUGUCACACUCAACAUUUCCUAAUGCAAACUUACUCUCCUGUUCAACUCUCCAGCUUUGCUGUUUUCCUAGAGCACUGAGUGGCACAAGAUCCGCUAUUGUGAGUGACCUGCUACCUUUUGCCACUGCCCUGGCUCCUUUAGAACUUUUAGGAUAUUUUUAGGAUUUUUUGGAAUUUUAGGACUAGUUUUCAUUGUGGGUCAGCAGCAUAUAUCUUAGAACAUGAAGAGCCUUUAUAUAAAAAGAAUGGUGACAUUAGUAGAGUAUUCCUUCAGUUAUGAAUAAAUCUACUCCAUUGCAUAUUUCACCAUAGAGUUUUCAAUAUUAUGUAAAAUUUGAUACUUGUGACUCAUAAGGUUCAUAUAUCAUCUUGAUGACUUUAAUAAAUAUUGUAAUAAUCAUUUUUUUGUCUUCAUGAUAGAAUUAUUUGUAUUCCUCUGCCUAUAUACCCAGUAAUAGGAUUGAUGGGUCAAAUCGUAGUUUGCAUUUAAGUCUUUGAGGAAUCUCCGUACUGCUUUCCACAGUGGUUGAACUUAUUUACACUCUGACCAACAAUGUAUAAGUGUUACCUUUUUUCUGAAACCUUGCCAGCAUCUGUUAUUUUUUGACUUUUUGAUAAUAGCCACUCUGACUGGUGCAAGAUGGUAUCUUAUCGUGGUUUUGAUUUGCAUUUGUCUAAUGAUCAGUGAUAUUGAGCUUUUUUAAUAUGCUUGUUAGCCAUAAGAAUGUUUUAUUUUGAAAAAUGUCUGUUGAUGUCCUUUGCCCUCUUUUUAAUGAGGUUGCUUUUCCCCUUGUAAAUUUGUUUAAGUUCUUUGUAGAUGCUGGAUACUAGACCUUUGUCAGACGCAUAGUUUGCAAAAAUGUUCUCCCACUCAGUAGGUUGUCUGUUUACUCUGUUGACAGUUUUUUUUGCUGUGCAGAAGCUCCUAAGUUUAAU
rnacentral:lncRNA from 10 species